GACGAACGCUGGCGGCGUGCUUAACACAUGCAAGUCGAACGGAAAGGCCCUGCUUUUGUGGGGUGCUCGAGUGGCGAACGGGUGAGUAACACGUGAGUAACCUGCCCUUGACUUUGGGAUAACUUCAGGAAACUGGGGCUAAUACCGUAUAGGAGCUCCUGCUGCAUGGUGGGGGUUGGAAAGUUUCGGCGGGUGGGGAUGGACUCGCGGCUUAUCAGCUUGUUGGUGGGGUAGUGGCUUACCAAGGCUUUGACGGGUAGCCGGCCUGAGAGGGUGACCGGCCACAUUGGGACUGAGAUACGGACCAGAGUCCUACGGGAGGCAGAAGUGGGGAAUAUUGCACAAUGGGAGGAAGCCUGAUGCAGCAACGCCGCGUGCGGGAUGACGGCCUUCGGGUUGUAAACCGCUUUCGCCUGUGACGAAGCGUGAGUGACGGUAAUGGGUAAAGAAGCACCGGCUAACUACGUG
rnacentral:rRNA from 1 species